CCCAGCAGGGGGAGACAGGGAGCAGAGCUGAUUCACUCAAUGGAUGUACAUCGUGCCACUGGUCCUCUUCCUGAUGAUGUCAGGAGCCCAGGACCAGUCUGGGGGCGGAGCCGGGGGCGGGGCAGCCAAUGGAGGAGGCCGAUGAUCACCACCCCAAACUGCAUUUCUACAUGUUAAUGUUAAACAUGCUCACGGUCCUGAAUUAGACUGGUCCCAGACACGCUGGUGAAAAAGCUUCUGUACUGAUGUCAUUGCACUGCUGUUUUUAAUACUUAAAAAUAAAGUAUUUAUUACUAUCUGGGA